GCCGGUGUAGCUCAAUUGGUAGAGCAACUGACUUGUAAUCAGUAGGUUGGGGGUUCAAGUCCUAGAGCAACUGACUUGUAAUCAGUAGGUUGGGGGUUCAAGUCCUCUGGCCGGCACCA
rnacentral:tRNA from 1 species